UAUUAUAUAUAUAAUGGCUAAAUUGGACAGAAGACAGCUAUAAAUAAACUAUAAUAAUAUGUGUCAGACUGUCAGAAGAUGGCAAAAAGAAAUAUAGACAAUUUAAACCUCAAUGAAAUCAUUAAAAUAUUCAAUAUUCUGAAAAUUGAAUACGAUGAAAAUAACACCCUACCAGUAUUCAAGGGAAUUCUUAAAAAGAAAAUAGAAGAGCAGGGCUUUGACAAUGGAGUACAUCCGGCAGUUUUUGCAGUAAGAGAAGCAAAGUUGAAAGAUAUUUCAAAGAGUGAAGCUCCAUUAAAAUAUAUCCAUACGUAUGUAAAUAGACUCGAAUAUAGAGUUUAUUAUUAUAAUCUUUCAUAAGACUUUA